rnacentral:rRNA from 1 species
CCCUACGGGGUGCAGCAGGCGGCGGAGGUGAUCCAGCUUUUUAUAAGCAUCUGGAAACACACCUAUGCGGAUAAAAGCGUAAACGCAAUGAUCAACGCGAUCCUUACGGACGAUUCCAUAAAAACCAUAAAAAUGAGCAAGGAGCUUGGGUUCAGCGAGCAUGCGGCGCAUACCGUAUGGGUUUUAAGGGAGAACGAGGCGGACCUACCCCCGCAGAAAAAGCAACGUAACAACUCGCAGCGGAUCAUACGGAUCAACCAGUUUUUUCAAAAAAAAGCGGGAAAUGCGUUUGCAGGGGUUUUUGAGGACGAUAUUGUGAUCCUGAUGGACGACAUCAGCGACCAGGAAUUGGCGGGAGGGC